rnacentral:rRNA from 1 species
AGAGAGAGACAUGCGCGCAUAUCAAUAAGCGGAGGAAAAGAAACUAACAAGGAUUCCCUUAGUAACGGCGAGUGAAGCGGGAAGAGCUCAAAUUUGAAAUCUUCAAGGUUUUACCUUGACGAAUUGUAGUUUAAAGAAGUGUCUUCUGCUGAAGUUUUGGUAAAAGUUCUUUGGAAUAGGACAUCAUAGAGGGUGAGAAUCCCGUAUUUGACCAUUAUUUUCAGCUUUGUGAUACACUUUCAAAGAGUCGGAUUGUUUGGGAAUGCAGUCCAAAAUGGGUGGUAAAUUUCAUCUAAAGCUAAAUAUUGGCGAGAGACCGAUAGCGAACAAGUACCGUGAGGGAAAGAUGAAAAGAACUUUGAAAAGAGAGUUAAACAGUACGUGAAAUUGUCAAAAGGGAAGCGUUUGACACCAGUGUUGUUUUCUCGAAAAUCAAUUAAAAAUGGCUCGAUUUUGUAUUGCUUGAGACCUUAAAAGCUCACUGUACAUUUUUCGUGUCUUUUUUAAUGCACUUUUCGUUUAACAAGUCAGCAUCAGUUUCUUUUGUUGUAAAAGGGUCAUUGGAAGGUGGCUUUCUUUUCGGAGAAAGUGUUUAUAGCCUUUGGCCUCUGCAAUCGGAGAGACUGAGGUCUGCAGCGUAGACUCUUCGGGGUUAGAUACAUUUGUGCUAAGUUAUAGCUUUUUAUAGACAACUUGUUGACUAUAAUUAGUCUUGUAGCUUACUCGCUUAUGCUAUUUUACCUACGCUUAGGAUGUUGAAGAUGUAGCACAUCAU